GCAGGAGUAUGAAUGGAUGGGUGGUGUAUGGAGGGGUGGAUGCGGUGUGGGUGAUGGGUGGUGGGCGGAUGAAGGCAGGCUGUUUCACAGGGCUCCUUUUGGAAAAUGCUUUUUCCCUUUUUCUCAUUUCUUAAGAACUAGGCUUUGGUUGGAAACCACUGGAGCAGGGUGCUGAGUGCUUGCUGUCUUUUAGCCUCGCUCAGCUGAGGUUUCUGAGCUGUGAGAAAAGCACAUCUCCCAGCGGGGGAACCAGAGCUGGCAGACCAUGGAUCUCAUUGUCACACUAAAGCAGAUCUCAGCAAAGUCCUUUUGGAAAAUUCCAGGCUGGCUCAGCUGCGCUGAGAACAGAGCGAGUUUCAGAGGCUGGUGUCUGAGCUGCCGCUGUGAUCAGAGCACUGAGAGUCCCGGGCGGGAGGCAGGUGGGUGGCAGACAAAGGAGGCACUGGGGCGGGUGGGGACAGACAUGGGGUCCCCUCCUGGCUGCCUCCUAGGGCUCCU
rnacentral:lncRNA from 1 species